GGCUUACUUACCUGGGUCCAGCACCAAUGUCCCUCGGAGCUGGCUCCACUCCGCCUAUGCUCCUCCCCUGCCGAAGUCCGCCAGUGGGGGAGACCUAAUGCGCAUGCACGUCAAUGGCCGCGCUUGCAUUAGGAUCUCCCCAUAGGAAAGCAUUAUUCAAUUGCUUUCCGACGCUGGAAGUCCUCACGCAUAGCUUGUUGGCCAUAUACUCUUGCAUUACAUUAUCACUUGAGAAAGUGCUUCCUUUGUUUCAGAU